ACUUUAUGUAGGCCUACACUACUAUUGGUCUAAGUUAUCAUGGUAUUGUAGUUAAUAUUAUAAGUUGAUAUAAUAUGACAAUAAAAAACAAUUCAGGCAACUAUAUCAGUAUGUUGGAGAAACAAUUUUGUGUUCUCAGAAAGAUGGCUUUAAGGAGUUCUUCAAGUCUUCAACUGUCAGCGGGGAAAACCAGAUCUACUGUGAUGAAUGUGAAAAGAAAGCAGAUGCAACCAUUGAAUGCAAGAUAGAACAUCACCCAGAAAAUCUUACUCUGCUCCUCAAGCGGUUUGAAUUUGACUACUACAGCAUGUCAUAUGUCAAAAUCAACUGUUGCGUGGAUGUGCCUCACACACUACAGACAGAGAAAUGUGAAUAUGAACUUUAUGCGAUUGUGGACCAUUUCGGAAGUCUUAGAGGUGGACACUACACUGCUAAGAUAAAGUCAUUUGACGAUGAUAACUGGUAUGAGUUCAAUGACUCCUACGUCAGAAAGGUAUGCAAGAUUAUUAUUUUUUUGAAUUGAAUAUCAUCAUUAUUCUAAUAUCAUAAAUUGUAUUUGCCAUUUUAUUUGGGUCUGUGAGUAGACUAGUGGCAACCCGUCAUUCAGGGCA